rnacentral:rRNA from 1 species
GCUUAACACAUGCAAGUCGAGCGAGAAUCGUUUUGCUGAAGGCUUCGGUCCGAUGCAGAAUGAGGAAAGCGGCGAACGGGUGAGUAACGCGUGGGCAACCUGGCCUUAAGAAAAGGAUAGCCCCCGGAAACGGGGAGUAAUACUUUAUGAGAAUAGAAAAGGGCAUCCUGUUUCUAUUCAAAGCGCAAGCGCUUAAGGAUGGGCCCACGUAUCAUUAGCUAGUUGGUGAGAUAACAGCCCACCAAGGCAACGAUGAUUGGCCGGUCGUGGAGGGCGAACGGCCACAUUGGAACUGAGAGACGGUCCAAACUCCUACGGGAGGCAGCAGUGGAGAAUAUUGCGCAAUGGGGAAGAACUCUGACGCAGCAAUACCGCGUGAGCGAAGAAGGUCUUCGGAUCGUAAAGCUCUGUUAUCAGGGAAGAAGAAAAUGACGGUACCUGAUGAGCAAGUCCCGGCUAACUACGUGCCAGCCGCCGCCGUAACAC